UGACCUUUUUUGUUGUUAAGUUUAUUGUUCAUGGAGAGUUUUUGUUUCACGUUUGCAUUCACGUAAUGCACAAUCUCCAGGGACUGAGAAUCAGAUGGAUGACUUCAUGCACAUGUUUGCCAAUAUCCAAACUAACUGUGAAAGAUGAAGCCAUGAAACCAGACAUGGAGCUCAAAACAAGAGUUUUCACCCCUCAGCACUGCAGUUUGCGGAUGCUGCGGUAGAGGCGCUUGAUCUCACGCUGCCCUUUCUGCCAACGCUUCAGUGACGUGAUCACCAGGUUCCCGUCCAGAUUCUGACCCAUCACGAGGAGAUCUCCUUCACCUUAAUCUUCAGAACUGGAGGAUGGAGAAGACACGUAAAGCAGUAAGGAUUGAGCUUUCGUUUGGAACAGUUUUAAAGUUCAAUAAUGUGCAAUUUUCCAUCCCAAAAAUCCAGAAAUGAAGGAAUGUACCCCCGAAA